CCCAUGUAAGCUGCUUUCUAUUGUGUGCUGGGUACUUGAGUGGCAGUGUAUAAACUCCAGACCUUUCUACAUCUUUUCUUAUGUCCUUCUUGUUACGCAAGGAAUUGAAAAUAGUCGGCUGUCUCUUAGUAGCAAGUUUUCUUCCAGUUUUAUGAAUGAUUUCUUUUAGCACUGCUGAUUUUUUCAUACUGUAUGGUAACGGCAAAAAGGUACUUCUUUGGCUUAUCUGCUGGUCUCUACUUUGCCAUAAGAAAGGAUGUAGAAGGGUCCGGAGUUUGUACACUGCCACUCGGGUGCCCGUCACGGAGUGGGAGAGCAGCUUGCGUGGGAGUUAUAGACAGAACGCUGUACCAGAGGCUUGAGGAGCGCAGGACAGAUGUUGGGAUGGGCAGGGUGACGGCAGCAUUGGCAGAGCGAGCCUUGGUCGAUGAUGUCCAAAUGCACUGGACCAGUGCUCGGGUAAUAAAGCC
rnacentral:lncRNA from 1 species